rnacentral:rRNA from 1 species
UACAGAGGUCUCAAGCGUUUGUUCGGAAUCACUGGGCGUAAAGGGCGCGUAGGCGGCCUUCUAAGUCGAACGUGAAAUCCCCGGGCUCAACCCGGGAACUGCGUCCGAUACUGGGAGGCUUGAAUCCGGGAGAGGGAUGUGGAAUUCCAGGUGAUAGCGGGUGAAAUGACGUAGAUAUCUGGAAGGAACACCGGUGGCGAAGGCGGCAUCCUGGACCGGUAUUGACGCUGAGGCGGCGAAAAGCUAGGGGAGCAAACGGGG